rnacentral:rRNA from 1 species
AGUGAACGCUGGCGGUAGGCCUAACACAUGCAAGUCGAACGGCAGCACAGUAAUAGCUUGCUCUUACGGGUGGCGAGUGGCGGACGGGUGAGGAAUACAUCGGAAUCUACUUUUUCGUGGGGGAUAACGUAGGGAAACUUACGCUAAUACCGCAUACGACCUACGGGUGAAAGCAGGGGAUCUUCGGACCUUGCGCGAUUGAAUGAGCCGAUGUCGGAUUAGCUAGUUGGCGGGGUAAAGGCCCACCAAGGCGACGAUCCGUAGCUGGUCUGAGAGGAUGAUCGGCCACACUGGGACUGAGACACGGUCCAGACUCGUACGGGAGGCAGCAGGGGGGAAUAUUGGACAAUGGGGGCAAGCCUGAUCCAGCCAGACCGAGUGGGUGAAGAAGGCCUUCGGGUUGUAAAGCCCUUUUGUUGGGAAAGAAAAGCAGCAGGUUAAUACCCCGCUGUUCUGACGGUACCCAAAGAAUAAGCACCGGCUAACUUCGUG